GGGUGUAAAGGGAGCGUAGGUGGUUCGGUAAGUCAGAUGUGAAAGCCCGGGGCUCAACCCCGGGAUUGCAUUUGAAACUAUCGUACUAGAGUGCAGGAGAGGUAAGUGGAAUUCCUAGUGUAGCGGUGAAAUGCGUAGAUAUUAGGAGGAACACCAGUAGCGAAGGCGGUCGCCUGGCCCAAUACUGACGCUGAGGCUCGAAAGCUAGGGGAGCAAACAGGAUUAGAUACCCUGGUAGUCCUAGCCGUAAACGAUGGACACUAGUUGCCGGAAGAGUCAAUCCUUCGGUGACGAAGCUAACGCAUUAAGUGUCCCGCCUGGGAAGUACGCCCGCAAGGGUGAAACUCAAAGGAAUUGACGGGGGCCCGCACAAGCGGUGGAGCAUGUGCUUUAAUUCGAUGCAACGCGAAGAACCUUACCUGGGCUUGACAUGGGGGUGAAAGGUCGCAGAGAUGUGAUCCCUUCCGCAAGGAACACCCUACACAGGUGCUGCAUGGUUGUCGUCAGCUCGUGUCGUGAGAUGUUAGGUUAAGUCCUGCAACGAGCGCAACCCUCGCCCUUAGUUGCCAUCAGGUAAUGCUGGGAACUCUAAGGGGACCGCCUGGUUUAACCAGGGAGGAAGGUGGGGGAUGACGUCAAAUCCUCAUGGGCCCUUACGUCCAGGGCUAGACACGUGCUACAAUGGUAGAUACAGCGGGAUGCAAGCUGGUGACAGCAAGCCAAUCCCUUAAAAUCUAUCUCAGUCCCGGAUUGAAGUCUGCAAUUCGACUUCAUGAAGCUGGAAUCGCUAGUAUCGCGAUCAGCAUGCGCGGUGAUACGUUCUCGGCUUGUACUCACCGCC
rnacentral:rRNA from 1 species